rnacentral:rRNA from 1 species
CAGUCGCCACGGUAAAACGUAGGGUGCAAGCGUUAAUCGGAAUUACUGGGCGUAAAGCGUGAGCAGGCGGUUAUAUAAGACAGAUGUGAAAUCCCCGGGCUCAACCUGGGAACUGCAUUUGUGACUGUAUAGCUAGAGUACGGCAGAGGGGGAUGGAAUUCCGCGUGUAGCAGUGAAAUGCGUAGAUAUGCGGAGGAACACCGAUGGCGAAGGCAAUCCCCUGGGCCUGUACUGACGCUCAUGCACGAAAGCGUGGGGAGCAAACAGGAUUAGAUACCCCAGUAGUCCCUGUCUCUUAUAC